GUGGGGAAUCUUAGACAAUGGGCGCAAGCCUGAUCUAGCCAUGCCGCGUGAGCGAUGAAGGCCUUAGGGUUGUAAAGCUCUUUCAGGGGGGAAGAUAAUGACGGUACCCCCAGAAGAAGCCCCGGCUAACUCCGUGCCAGCAGCCGCGGUAAUACGGAGGGGGCUAGCGUUGUUCGGAAUUACUGGGCGUAAAGCGCACGUAGGCGGACCAGAAAGUCAGGGGUGAAAUCCCGGGGCUCAACCCCGGAACUGCCUUUGAAACUCCCAGUCUUGAGUUCGAGAGAGGUGAGUGGAAUUCCGAGUGUAGAGGUGAAAUUCGUAGAUAUUCGGAGGAACACCAGUGGCGAAGGCGGCUCACUGGCUCGAUACUGACGCUGAGGUGCGAAAGCGUGGGGAGCAAACAGGAUUAGAAACCCCAGUAGUCC
rnacentral:rRNA from 1 species